CCGAGCGGCUGAUGUCCAGGUACGAGGCGGUGAUGCGUAGCGUCCUUGAAGACAGCCGAUUGGUGCAGCUGCAGCAGGAGGGCGGAGCCUCUCUGUCGCGGCUGCGGCGAGAGGAGAGCAGCAUCAGCGGCGCGCCGGGCUACGUGGCGGCCGUGGCGGCCGUGGCCAGUCGGUACGACGCGUGGACGAGCUGCUGCACCGCCUGGUGACGCUGUCCAACGGGCGCACGCACACGCUCCGCUUCAUCCUGGACUUCAGCGGGCUGGAGGGAGGCUUCACCGAGGUGCGGACGUGGCUACAGGAAGUAGGAGAGGUUCGUCUGAAGUGUCUGGAGGAAGCAGAAGAUUCUCUGGAGCUGCUCAACAAGAAACUACAAGAGUUCAAGGAGUUCCACAGCACAGCAUACGAGUACUGCCGGCGUGGCGAGGCCUUGCUGGCUGGUCUGGACCGUUGGGGGGACCUGUCGUCAGCUGACCUGCAGGUCUACGAGGUCAAAGUUCACUCGUUCUGGGCUCAGCUGCAGGACUUCUGUCAGCGGGUCAACACCACGGGCCAGAACAUCCAGC